UUAGAGUUUGAUCCUGGCUCAGAUUGAACGCUGGCGGCAUGCCUUACACAUGCAAGUCGAACGGCAGCACGGGGGCAACCCUGGUGGCGAGUGGCGAACGGGUGAGUAACAUAUCGGAACGUGCCCUGGAGUGGGGGAUAACUAGUCGAAAGAUUAGCUAAUACCGCAUACGAUCUACGGAUGAAAGUGGGGGAUCGCAAGACCUCAUGCUCGUGGAGCGGCCGAUAUCUGAUUAGCUAGUUGGUGGGGUAAAGGCCUACCAAGGCAUCGAUCAGUAGCUGGUCUGAGAGGACGACCAGCCACACUGGGACUGAGACACGGCCCAGACUCCUACGGGAGGCAGCAGUGGGGAAUUUUGGACAAUGGGCGCAAGCCUGAUCCAGCAAUGCCGCGUGAGUGAAGAAGGCCUUCGGGUUGUAAAGCUCUUUUGUCAGGGAAGAAACGGUGGAGGUUAAUACCUUCUGCUAAUGACGGUACCUGAAGAAUAAGCACCGGCUAACUACGUGCCAGCAGCCGCGGUAAUACGUAGGGUGCAAGCGUUAAUCGGAAUUACUGGGCGUAAAGCGUGCGCAGGCGGUUGUGCAAGACAGAUGUGAAAUU
rnacentral:rRNA from 2 species